GCCAGAAGGCUGCUCUGAGCCACAGCCCCUAGAACACAAAAACCGCCCCUUUUCCCAGUUUGCAGGAGGUACUUGGCACUCUCAAACCAGCCCAAGUUGGCACUGGUGCCAGCUUGGUCCUGGGAGGCAUCCUGCGAUAUGCGGAAUUUUAGGAGCCAGAAGGCUGCUCUGAGCCACCGGCCCUGGAACAAAAAACCGCCCCUUUUCCCAGUUUGCAGGAGGUACUUGGCACUCUCAAACCAGCCUGAGUUGGCACUGGUGCCAGCUUG